UAAACUUGGCCUUCCUGCUGCCAGCCCCUUUCGCCCACAGCGCGCUGCUCGGUUCAACGGAGUUCGGAGUUCGAGAGGCUGAUGCACAUAAGGUCUGGUGCUGGAAAGAACAGGUGAGACUUCUGAGGAGUGAUGUCCACAGUUCUGCUUUCUUUGUCCCUUUCACGGUGACAGCAGGGGUGAAAACUGGCAUGGCCACAUUUUCAUAGAAUUCAAUUCCAUUAUUUAAAAUAGUUUUUCUAUCAACCAGCCCCAGUCUGAUAGUUAACCAGUCCUUAUCUUGAUUCUCAUACUCUGCAAAGAUGACUAAAGCUAGUUCUUCCAAGAGGUCAAGUUUAGAACACAGGAAUAGCUAGAUUGGUGAUCUUAAAACUGGAUCUUAAGACAACAUUGUAAAUUACUCUGCUUUACAUUUUACUGUUCUAAAAAUCACAGAUUCUCUCACAAUAUGGUCUUAGAAGUUACUGUUAGGGCAUACCUAUGGCGAUGGUGAGCUUAAUCCUACCCAAGAUCUACCUGGAUACUGAACAGAAUACCUGUAUAUGUGUAGUAGAACAUGAGGCUGCCUUCAUCUUGUUAUAUUCUUUGCUUUUAGAGAUGUGGUUUUGUGUACUUUGUACACUUACCAAUUGUUCCAUAAUCAUUUUAGGGAUUACAUUUGAUCCUUUGGGCAGAGAACAGGCCCGCAGGUUUGAGAGAUGAAGGCAAGAUUGACUGCCAAGGGGCAUGAGGGAGUUUCUUGAAUGGGUCCUUUAUUCUGCAAUUCUAUAUCUUGGUUAUGGUGGUGAUUACAUUUGUCUCACACUUCAGGUGAAUUCCCCUGAAUGUAAAUUCAUACUUCAAUAAACUUUUGAAAACAA